GUCUAGCUCAGUUGGCAGAGCACGAGACUCUUAAAGAAUCUCAGGGUCAUGGGUUUGAGCCCCACAUGGGGCA